CGCGCUUUGGUAUUGAUAAAAAUAAAUAAAUAUAUAAACCUCGUGAAAAUCGGUUGAGAAAUGAGCAAGUUAACUUAAUUUCAAUAUCCAACCAUUGCCUUUGAAUGGAACAUCGACCUUCCCAACAUGGCGGCCACGAGGACGUCGGUUAGCGGGGCGCUACAGCUCGCUGGCGUAUAGUCUUCAAAUGGUCAGAACCGCUACACACAUUUCCAGCUGUGUUAACCCUAUCACCAGCUGGUCAACGAUUGGUCAACAGAGAUGCUAAGGAGAGGGGCCAUUGUAUCUAGUGUAAGACAAGCAGGACUAAUCAUUGUACGGGGCAAGUCUGGACCUGCCUAAGCUGUCAGAUCUCAGUUGAGUAACAUACAAAGUUGAGGACAUACAAACAAGGAAUUAGCUGUGUAGAUCCUCCUUCGGGCUGCUGUCAUCUUUCAUUUCUGACAGCCUUUGUGGCAUCGCUGGGGCAAGUUUGGACUUGCUCGAGCAUCCCUCCCAAGGU